GGUUUCGUAGGUGACCUGCGGAGGAUCAUUA
rnacentral:rRNA from 1 species